GUUCCUCCCACGCACGCACCACGCUAAGCAUCCUCUAACCCUACUGCUGUGCGCCAACACAGCCGUGAACCGCCGCCGCCUCCAAGCAUGGCGGCUCCUCUCUCUCUCUCCUCUCUAGUCCCUCGGAGGUGUCCAUGUUUUAUUUCUUGUUUGCUUAGAUCUACGUGUUUUUCUUUCUUCCAAGAAGGGGAUCUGUUGCUUCUUGCUACCAAGUGAUGUUGGGAUUAUUGCGCAAGGGCUUUGAGCAAUUCGUGGCUUGUUUUUGCCUCAUGCGAUGAGAUCACGACAGCCAGUUUGCCCUCUGGUUCAGUGAGGUGAUAUGCAAGAAGGCAAGCACCUUGCGCCGUUCCCUUCUGUUUGGAUGUUUUCCGUCUCAAGUUCUGAAAUUUGAGAUUUUUGCACAUACAGCUAAUACCUGACACAAAAUUUGUAGAUCGAAAUGCGUGUUUCCUUUUUUUCCUUGUGGAUUUAACAAGUUCUUUUCAAUGCCAAGUGAUGGUGGGAUUAUUGCGCAAGGGCUUUGAGCAAUUCGUGGGCACUUGUGGUCCAAUGCUGUGAGAUGAACUACAUGACACCCCUUCUGAUGGCAAUUUCUUCUAGAAAUUAACUGUGUACAUAACCACUGAUAUAUGCAUUGCUUUUAUGUGUUAUCUACUUGCACAUACAGCUAAUACCAGCAUGAGGAAUCAGCUUUUGCAAUGCUUGAUAAAAUGUAGUUCUUAAGUCACAUACAUUCAAGCUUAGUACCAAACUCUCUCCGCUGCUUGUUCGGAUCAGCAGAUGCUCCAGUAGCAUUUUGAUGGCACAAUGGAGUAUGGAAUGCAAGUACGCUGAAUCCAAGAAGCUAGGAAUGCAAGUACGCUGAAUCCAAGAAGCUGCUGAAGCAUUGGACUAUUCCUUUUUGGUCUUAUUAAUUCCAGGACUUCGGUAGAUUGGGGAAUUUCCAUCCACAAUCUGAAUUAUACUGGAAGGAUACCUUUUACUGGAAUUAGUAGUUUGUACAGAAGUUUAUACUUGUAAGAUGAUUGACUUUUUCGUGUGUUUCAUUAUCUUGGUUUUUGCUGUGGAUAACUAUAUAACCUGGUCAUAGUUGAAAAGCUCGGUUCAGAAA